AUGUUUUUAUCCAGUAAAUCUAGUGAUAGGGAACUUUUCACCAUGACGGAGGUUAUGUUCGAACGAGAGAGGAGGGUUUUUGAAACUUACGCCAAGCAGGAGAUAGAACUCGAAACUAAAUUGAAUCAGCUAUACAACAAGCACCACAGUAUUAAUUUUGAAUCGAAGCAGAAAGCUUCCAAUAAUCAUAAGGAUAAAUAUGCCUACCAAAAAAGGAACGAAUUAUUCUUGAAGAGCUUGGAAAUUGCCACUGCCAAAUUGAGGACACAGUUCUACUUCUGCCCUACAGAGAGAUGCCUGGAGAAAGCAAAGAGGAAGUACAUAAAUAGUCUUCAGGGCUAGUUUAUUAAAAAUGAACCACGAAGACUGAUGAGAACAAUGGACACAUUCCUAUGAUUUCAGGACUUUAAAAGAACCCUGCAAAUCCUUGAAAUAUCCUGUAAAGUAAAAUGUAAGGCAAAUAAACCGGCAUCAUUUUUGAAAAAUCGUGAUUUUCAUUCAAGCAUAUUCAACAUAUUUUAUUCAAGGUCAUUCAACAUUUAACUUUAAAAAAUUCUAAUAGAAAUAUUGAUCCGUUUCCAUUUUAUCGAUACGAACUUAACAUAAACGCCAAAGUUUUCAAAUAAUUCAACAUAGAAUGACGUUUUUUAUUUUUCAAUCUUCAAUCUUUAUGAUCCGUUCACG
rnacentral:lncRNA from 1 species